rnacentral:rRNA from 1 species
CACGUAGGGGGCGAGCGUUGUCCGGAUUUAUUGGGCGUAAAGAGCGUGUAGGCGGCCAGGUAGGUCUGGUGUGAAAACUCGAGGCUUAACCUCGAGAUGUCAUCGGAAACCAUUUGGCUAGAGUCCGGAAGAGGAGAGUGGAAUUCCUGGUGUAGCGGUGAAAUGCGCAGAUAUCGUAAGGAAGACCAGUGGCGAAGGCGGGUCUCUGGACAGUUCCUGACGCUGAGGCACGAAGGUCAGGGGAGCAAACGGG